rnacentral:lncRNA from 1 species
UAGGGUUUGGAUUAGGGUUUGGAUUAGGAUUUAGAGUUUGGUUAGGGUUUGAUUUAGGGUUUGGAUUAGAGUUUGGUUAGGGUUUGAUUUAGGAUUUGGAUUAGGAUUAGGAUUUAGGAUUUGGUUAGGAUUUAGGAUUGGAUUAGGGUUUGGAUUAGGAUUUAGGAUUUGAUUAGGAUUUGAUUUAGGAUUUGGAUUAGGAUUUGGAUUAGGAUUUAGGAUUUGGUUAGGGUUUGAUUUAGGAUUUGGAUUAGGAUUUGAUUUAAGGUUUGGUUUAGGAUUUAAGAUUUGGAUUAGGAUUUAGGGUUGAUUUAGGAUUUGAAAUAGGGUUUAAUUUAAGGUUUGUUUAGGAUUUGACUUAGGGUUUAGGAUUUAUUAGGGUUUAAGAUUUAAUUAGAUUUGGUCUAAAGUUUGAGUGAAAUUCAAUAGGAUUUUAACUAGAAUUAAAUUAAGGUUGAAUUGACAUAUAUUUAAGUAAUAUUUGUGAUCAUUCUAAUAUUUCUUUAAGAAUUUUAUUAUUUGUUUGAAUUUUUUUUGAGUUGUUUUGAAUUUGAUUACGUUGGUUUACCAUUAUUAUAGUCUAAUUAGAGCAUUGUUAGUAUUCUAUUAUAAUUAGGAUUUUGUUAUUACAAUUUCUAU